rnacentral:rRNA from 1 species
UACGAAGGGAGCUAGCGUUGUUCGGAAUCACUGGGCGUAAAGCGCACGUAGGCGGAUGUGUCAGUCAGGGGUGAAAUCCCGGAGCUCAACUUCGGAACUGCCUUUGAUACAGCACAUCUGGAGUCCGGAAGAGGUGGGUGGAAUUCCUAGUGUAGAGGUGAAAUUCGUAGAUAUUAGGAAGAACACCGAUGGCGAAGGCAGCUCGCUGGGACGGUACUGACGCUGAGACGCGAAAGCGUGGGGAGCGAACAGG